rnacentral:rRNA from 1 species
GACGAACGCUGGCGGCGUGCUUAACACAUGCAAGUCGAACGGAAAGGCCCUGCUUUUGUGGGGUGCCCGAGUGGCGAACGGGUGAGUAACACGUGAGUAACCUGCCCUUGACUUUGGGAUAACUUCAGGAAACUGGGGCUAAUACCGGAUAGCAGCUCCUGCUGCAUGGUGGGGGUUGGAACGUUUCGGCGGUUGGGGAUGGACUCGCGGCUUAUCAGCUUGUUGGUGGGGUAGUGGCUUACCAAGGCAUUGACGGGUAGCCGGCCUGAGAGGGUGACCGGCCACAUUGGGACUGAGAUACGGCCCAGACUCCUACGGGGGGCAGCAGUGGGGAAUAUUGCACAAUGGGCGGAAGCCUGAUGCAGCAACGCCGCGUGCGGGAUGACGGCCUUCGGGUUGUAAACCGCUUUCGCCUGUGACGAAGCGUGAGUGACGGUAAUGGGUAAAGAAGCACCGGCUAACUACGUG